UAUGCAUAUAAUUGACAGCUUAGGAUAGAAAACACUCUAAAGUUUCCAAAACUGUAAAGAUAUUGUCUGUGAGUAUAACAGGACUGAUAUUCCAGGCAAAAGAAUGAGAAAAAUCCAAUCAGGAACGCAGCGGUUUCUAAAUAAGAGUCCCUUCCUAUGCUUCCCUAUUGAGCAGUGAAUGGGAUAUCAACGAGAUUCCCUUUUCUAUGGCUUCCUUAAUGUGUCUAGUAUCACAAGACAUAGUUUCAGGCUUUUAUUUUGAAAAAUGAGCCUGAGCGACAACAUUGCGUCAGUGUCCACCUGAUGGCUCUUUGUGUAUUUCUCCCGCAAAAGACAGAGGUAGCCAUUUUUCCACCCGGUCUUGCUGAGUGAAGAACUAGCUGAGUGAAGAACUAAAGGAGCUAUUUGGCUAUACAAAAAUAAUUUUUCUGGAAAAAAGGAACAUUUGCUAUCUAACCGGGAGUCUCGUGAUUGAAAACAUCCGAAGCUCAAAGUGAACGUGUGGCUGUGACCAUCCUGUCAAUGCCUGUCAUCACUGUUUGAUAUCUUUUACUGCAGGUAUGCUUUUCUGUAUUUUUGUUAUUUUCUAAACACAACGCAUGUAUACUAUACGGUCACUUUGUGGCUGGAGUCUGAGAGAGAUAUUCUGAGAGCAGUGAACUUGUGGCUGUGACCGUCCUGUCAAUGCCUGUCAUCACUGUUUGAUAUCUUUUACUGCAGAUAAAAACCAAGUCACCCUGAAGUGCGGGUGUCCGUGUGAAGUUGGUUACACUAUCUGUAAAGCUUCAGCGAUUUAGAUUGAGCUGUUAUUCAGAACACCUAAAACAACAUACAAGGAACAUUCCUGCUUGACUAAUAAAAUUAUAGUGGAAUAUGGUGAGUGAUUCUUCUAAUGUUGCAGAUUUUAAAAACAGAAAUGGGGAACAAUCCUGUAAGAAAGUUAUGCUUGUUAUAAGAAGUUGCCGAAUGGCAAUAUUUUUUUGAGAAAGGGUAUUGCCCAGAUCAGCCUGUGACCUUCUGGUUUAUAUCCCAGUGCCUAGUCUACUGUGUCACUAGGGAGGGAAGCACCAGAAUUGUUUUGUCACAUAUUUAAAGCUUUUUGUUCAGUCAGUCACUUUACUAUAAAUGUGAUUAUUUAAGAAUGUUGGGUAUAGUUGCAACUUGGAUUCGAACUGGCCACUUAACAAGUCACAGCCCUCGCGUAAUGCGCGUACCACCCUUAAGUAUACUUUUCCCAAACAUGGAGAGCAAUCGGGAGGGCUGGAGAGGGAAAAUACAGGAAGUGCUUACCUCCCAUGAGUCCCAGGAAGCUGCCUUCCGUGAGGCAAUAAAAGAUGAGACCAGAUGAGAUUAGAAAAUGCUGUGUAACCAUGGCAACUGUCAACUAGGAAUUACACUAGGGAAGAACUUUAUAUAAAGGAUUCAGCUAAACACCAGACUAGGGUGGAAUAUUUUCCUGUUAUUUUACAAAUGCUCAAUAAAUCACUUUCAGAGAUGCAGAGAAUGAAGUUGGUCUACUUCUAAGUAACUUUGGCUGACUCCUAUGUCAUCUCCUACAUGUGACCUUCCAUUAUAGAGUUUUGCUUUGGUGUGGAUUGAGGAUUAUACAUUCAUAUCAGUUGUGUUACCCCAUUGGUUUCAGCUUUACUGAUUUCUGUUGUGGAUUGUGUUUCUGUACACAAAUGGAAAGUCUACAGAACUAAGAGCAAACCAGCCAAUGUAUUGAAUACAUGGAAUAGAUUGUGAUAUCAUGAAUUAAUCAUGCACACAAUGUGCUUCAUUUAAUUUAUCAGGAAUCAAAUGUUUGAAAUUGUUUGGUGAUAUGCAUAAAAGGUGAGUAAUUACCCAUAAUUCUGCACCUUUGGAUAGUUGUACUUCCAGUUUUGAUCAUGAUUUAGUGACUGCAAAUAACACACACACAUAAAUAUAUACACACACACACACACAUACAUAUAUACACAGAUCUACUGGGAUUUUUAAAAGACAGACUAACUUUGUUUUGUCUUGGGCUCAAGAGAAAAGUAUAGUUAAUAUUUUGACAGGCAGUUCUUUUGAUGAAUGCAUUUGCAAUUUUGACUGUAGAUAUUUUUUGGGAAUGUUUUUGUUUUAAAAAGACAACUUCGUUUUGAAAAAGCAUUUACUGUUUAGCAAAAGUUCUGUUGCUUGUUGACUGUUUUGAAAAUCAACAUUGUUCCAAAACAUGCUUGUAGGCGAUUGAGAGAAUCUGAUGUGUAAAGACAGUUGCUCCCUGAUUAAAUAGUACAAGAGUACACUCUGCUGGACAGAAAUGCUUACAGCACCUGGUGUUCCCAGGCAGUGUACCAUCCAAGUACUAACCAGGCCCGACCCUGCUGAGCCUCCGAGACUUGGCGUAAGCCAAUGACUGUAUGUAUAUAUGAUGUAAGCGAAGGAAUAACCCUUGGUACACUAUAUCAAGUUUGUCACUUGAAAAAGUGCCGUAUGAAAUCAUAGAAUCAAUGGGAUAAACAGACAGUUACUUUAACACAGGCAGAUGAGUUACAAACCUUGUAUACAUUUCAACCGCAUAUGAGUCUUAUGAAAAUAGCAGGCCUAUCAAAUAAUGAGUUCAGACAAAUACAUCAGACAAUGUUACCGGUAUGCGAGGCGGGCCAUAUUACCAGUACAUGACUUCAGCACAUUUAAUAGUUUAUACUGUAUAUUCAUUCAUCCUCGUAUUUGUUUUAACCACUUUACUACUUCGCUGUGUGUAUAUUUUUGAUAAUGUGUAUAGCACUGAGCUUGCAAGUAAGCAUUUCACUGUACCAUUUACACCCUGUAUCCCGUGCGUGUGACAAAUAAACUUUGAUUAGAAGACCGACUUGACCAGCACUAUCUAGCAAUAAUUGAGAUGAACUUUCUCAAAUGUGAAAAUACAAUAUACAUCAUGAUCCUAACAAAUUAAAACUAAUCAACUCUGUUGUCUCUGCCUGAUUUAUCUUUACAGUGACGGGGUGGACCGUUCCUGGAGGUACUGCAAUACCAGGUUAAACAUGCAGUUUGGAUGCUGAAAUCAUUUUGGAGUGGAAGAACAUGCACAAAAAUAUCCUACAUUUUAAAGCGAUUUGUUUGACAAAUCAGAUGAAAAUAUCAUGACUGGUUGUGUUUAUGCCACAAAAAAAAAAAAAACUUAAUUUACUUUUUUUUAUAAGGCCCAACAAAUAUGUUUUACUGGUAUGUGAGGCCGUCCAUGUUAACAGUACAUGACUUUAGCACAUUUCAGAGUUUAUAUUGUAUAGUCUUCUUGUGUAUACAUUUGUAUAUAUGUAUAUUUUUCCAAUCAUAAUUGUUUGUUUUAACUACUUUACUACUACUUUGCUAUUUGUAUAUUUUUGACAAUACGUAUUGCACUGUUGAUGAGCGCUUGCAAGUUAGCAUUUCACUGUACCGUUUAUCCGUGCUCAUGAAGAAUAAACUUUGAUUAUAAGAUUAACGCAGCAUUCACAUCAGCUAUCAUAGUCAACUUUCGCAAAUGUGAAGAUACAAUACACAUCAUGAUCCUAAUAAAUUAAAACGAAUCAA